GAUACAUUGAACAUCUGACCACUAUAUUUAGUGGAAUAAUAGUGUCAAAAAGAAACAUGCAUUCCAUACUUCUAAUGUACGAUAUCUCAUAAAUAACCCUUUCGUAUUUUAAAUUAAUAGCUUUGUACAGCUAUUUAACAAAGAUGAAUACAACUGAAUUUUUUUUCUUUUUUUUAAAUUUACUUUUAAUUGGAGGAUAAUUGCUUUAGAAUGCUGUGCUGGUUUCUGCUGUACAGCAUCAUGAAUCAAUCAUAGGUACACAUAUAUCCCUCCUUCUUAAACUGCCCUCCCACCUUCCACCCCAUCCCACCCCUCUAGGUUGUCACAGAGCAUUGGGUUGAGUUCCCUGCAUCAUACAGCAAAUUCCCACUGGCUGUCUGCUUUGGUGGCUCAGAUGGUAAAGAAUCUACUUGCAAUGCAGGAGACCUGGGCUGGGUAAAUCCCCUGGAGAAGGGAACGGCUACCCACUCCAGUAUUCUGGCCUGGAGAAUUCCACGGACUGUAUAGUCCGUGGUGUGGCCAAAAGUCAGACAUUACUGAGCAACUUUCACUUUUCAUCUGUUUUACAUGUGGUAAUGGGUAUGUUUCAAUGCUUCUCUUAAUUUUCCACCCUCUCCUUCCCGUGCUGUGUGCAUACAUCUGUCCCCUGUGUCUGCACCUCUAUUGCUGUACUACAAACAGGUUCAUCAGUGCCGUCUUGCUAGAUUCCCUGUAUAUCAUUCAUGUGCUGUAUUUGUUUUUCUCACUUAUACUUCACUCUGUAUAACGGGCUCUGGGUUCAUCCACCUCUCUAGAACGAACCCAAAUGUGUUCCUUUUUAUUUAUAUAUUCCAUUAUAUAUAUAUAUCUCACAACUUCUUUAUCCAUUCAUCUCUCAGUGAACAUCUAGGUUGCUUCCAUGUCCCAGCUAAUCUGUCUAGUGCUGCCGUGAACCUUAGGGUACAUGUGUCUUUUAGAAUUGUGGUUUUCUCAGGGUAGAUGCCCAGUAGUGGGAUUUCUGAGUCAUUUCUGGUCAUUCCUAGUUUUUAAAGAAAUCUCCGUAUCGUUCUGUGUAGCCACUGUUCUCCAGAGUGGCUGUAUCAAUUUACAUUCCUGCCAGCAGUGCAAGAGUUCCCUUUUCUCCACAUCCUCCUCAGCAUUUAUUGUUUGUGGAUUUUUUGAUGAUGGCCAUUCUGACCAGUCUGAGGUGAUACCUCAUUGUCGUUUUGAUUUGCAUUUCUCUAAUAAUUACCAUUGUUGAGCAUUUUUUUCAUGUGUUUAUUAGCCAUCUAAUACAAUUGAUUUUGUGUAUGUUGACUUUUGAAUGGUGUCUACAACAAUGUAUAUUUAGAUUGUAUUCUUCCUGUAACUAAGGAUACAUCUUCACAAAAGAAUAAAAGUUAAUUUCAGUAAACGUAAAUCCUUUAAGAAAGUUGGGUUAUAAACUAGUUUAUAAUAUUAAAUACUUUUAUCAAGAAUGAAAUUAUUUCAUGCUUAAUUAUACUCC
ensembl:lncRNA